AUUGAACGCUGGCGGCAAGCCUAACACAUGCAAGUCGAACGAGUGGCGGACGGGUGAGUAAUGUCUGGGAAACUGCCUGCUGGAGGGGGAUAACUACUGGAAACGGUAGCUCAUACCGCAUACCCUCGGAUGUGCCCAGAUGGGAUUAGCUAGUAGGUGGGGUAAAGGUUCACCUAGGCGACGAUCCCUAGCUGGUCUGAGAGGAUGACCAGCCACACGGUAACUGAGACACGGUCCAGACGCCUACGGGAGGCAUCAGUGUGGAAUAUUGCACAAUGGGCGCAAGCCUGAUGCAGCCAUGCCGCGUGUAUGAAGAAGGCCUUCGGGUUGUAAAGUACUUGCAGCGGGGAGGCGUUACCCGCAGAAGAAGCACCGGCUAACUCCGUGCCAGCAGCCGCGGUAAUAC
rnacentral:rRNA from 1 species